rnacentral:sRNA from 1 species
AAAAUUGACAGAAAAAUUAUUUUCGGAAUAUUUUUGGCGAAAAAAAUCGAUAUUCUAUUUUGUUAACCUAAAAUAUUUUCAAAAUAUGAGUAAAAUAGUCAUUAAAAAUUAAAUUAACGUAUAAAUGAAAAUGACUAACAGGAAAGGUUAUAAUUAAAAAAUGAUAAUUUUGGAAGAACAUUUUUUACAAUUUCUCUUUAAUCAUUAACCCUCGUUGUAUGGAACUCCGGUGGCGUUGAGCCACGAAUCUCUAUUUAUGAACUCUCUAACCGUAAACAUGACUGCUUCCAUCGGGUCUGUGAUGAUCUUGUUCCCAUUCGGAUGGACUCUCUGGCUUGCGUUUGCUCUGGGGCCUUUGUUUUGAUAUUCGCGGUAGAACAAUGUGGACAAAUCCCCACUAGUGCUGCUAUUUCAUGGAGUCCAUCCCACUGGAUCUAUCAAAACAUCCAUUUAAGAUUCCAUAAUCACCACCGUUGAUAAAUCACCCCACGGUCUUACUAGAAACAUCUUCACCAUUCUGUGAAUGUCGACGUGUCGGUCGAGAGACUGUAAAAAGCCUACGUAUUCAUAGAAUUUUUAUUUUUAUUUGUGAUGUUUAUGAUAGUUUUUUGUUCACUUUAUUUUUUUUGUUCAAUCUAUUUUAAUUUUCUUAACACUGAUAUAAAAAAUUUCAUAGUUUAUGUUGUGUAUUUAUUUUUUAAUUUUUUAUA